AUAUAUAUGUGUGUGUGUGUGUGUGUGUGUGUGUGUGUGUGUGUGUGUUACAUACACACACACACACACACACACACACACACACAUAUAUAUAUAUAUAUUGUGUGUGUGUGUAUUUAUGUACAUAUAUUUUGUAGAUUCACCUCUCUAGUGUACACACACACACACACACACACACACACAC